UACGUAGGGUGCGAGCGUUAAUCGGAAUUACUGGGCGUAAAGCGUGCGCAGGCGGUUUUGUAAGCCAGAUGUGAAAUCCCCGGGCUUAACCUGGGAAUGGCAUUUGGGACUGCAAGGCUUGAGUGCGGCAGAGGAGACUGGAAUUCCUGGUGUAGCAGUGAAAUGCGUAGAUAUCGGGAGGAACAUCAAUGGAUAAGGCGACCACCGAGAUCUACACUGACGCUGAGGUGCGAAAGCGUGGGUAGCAAACAGG
rnacentral:rRNA from 1 species